rnacentral:piRNA from 1 species
UUUAGUAGUAAAUUAAGAAUAGAG